CGCUGGCGGCGUGCCUAAUACAUGCAAGUCGAGCGCGGGAAGCGAGUGGAUCCCUUCGGGGUGAAGCUCGUGGAACGAGCGGCGGACGGGUGAGUAACACGUGGGCAACCUGCCUGUAAGAUCGGAAUAACCCCGGGAAACCGGGGCUAAUGCCGGGUAAUACUUUCUUUCGCAUGAAGGAAAGUUGAAAGAUGGCUUCUCGCUAUCACUUACAGAUGGGCCCGCGGCGCAUUAGCUAGUUGGUGAGGUAACGGCUCACCAAGGCGACGAUGCGUAGCCGACCUGAGAGGGUGAUCGGCCACACUGGGACUGAGACACGGCCCAGACUCCUACGGGAGGCAGCAGUAGGGAAUCUUCCGCAAUGGACGAAAGUCUGACGGAGCAACGCCGCGUGAACGAUGAAGGUCUUCGGAUCGUAAAGUUCUGUUGUUAGGGAAGAACAAGUACCGUGCGAAUAGAGCGGUACCUUGACGGUACCUAACGAGGAAGCCCCGGCUAACUACGUGCCAGCAGCCGCGGUAAUACGUAGGGGGCAAGCGUUGUCCGGAAUUAUUGGGCGUAAAGCGCGCGCAGGCGGUUCCUUAAGUCUGAUGUGAAAGCCCACGGCUCAACCGUGGAGGGUCAUUGGAAACUGGGGAACUUGAGGACAGAAGAGGAGAGUGGAAUUCCACGUGUAGCGGUGAAAUGCGUAGAUAUGUGGAGGAACACCAGUGGCGAAGGCGACUCUCUGGUCUGUUUCUGACGCUGAGGUGCGAAAGCGUGGGUAGCAAACAGGAUUAGAUACCCUGGUAGUCCACGCCGUAAACGAUGAGUGCUAGGUGUUAGGGGGCUUCCACCCCUUAGUGCUGAAGUUAACGCAUUAAGCACUCCGCCUGGGGAGUACGGCCGCAAGGCUGAAACUCAAAGGAAUUGACGGGGGCCCGCACAAGCGGUGGAGCAUGUGGUUUAAUUCGAAGCAACGCGAAGAACCUUACCAGGUCUUGACAUCCCUUGGACAUCCCUAGAGAUAGGGCUUUCCCUUCGGGGACCAAGUGACAGGUGGUGCAUGGUUGUCGUCAGCUCGUGUCGUGA
rnacentral:rRNA from 1 species